rnacentral:tRNA from 1 species
GGCCCGUUCGUCUAUCGGACAGGAUGACAGCCUUUCACACUGUCGAGAUGGGUUCGACUCCCAUACGGGCUA